rnacentral:rRNA from 1 species
AACGAACGCUGGCGGCAGGCUUAACACAUGCAAGUCGAACGCAUCGCAAGAUGAGUGGCAGACGGGUGAGUAACGCGUGGGAACAUACCCUUUUCUACGGAAUAGCUCUGGGAAACUGGAAUUAAUACCGUAUACGCCCUACGGGGGAAGGAUUUAUCGGGGAAGGAUUGGCCCGCGUUGGAUUAGCUAGUUGGUGGGGUAAAGGCCUACCAAGGCGACGAUCCAUAGCUGGUCUGAGAGGAUGAUCAGCCACAUUGGGACUGAGACACGGCCCAAACUCCGACGGGAGGCAGCAGUGGGGAAUAUUGGACAAUGGGCGCAAGCCUGAUCCAGCCAUGCCGCGUGAGUGAUGAAGGCCUUAGGGUUGUAAAGCUCUUUCACCGAUGAAGAUAAUGACGGUAGUCGGAGAAGAAGCCCCGGCUAACUUCGUGCCAGCCGCCGCCGUAAGAC